GGUGAACGCUGGCGGUAGGCCUAACACAUGCAAGUCGAACGGCCGCACAGUAAGAGCUUGCUCUUACGGGUGGCGAGUGGCGGACGGGUGAGGAAUACAUCGGAAUCUACUUUUUCGUGGGGGAUAACGUAGGGACACUUACGCUAUUACCGCAUACGACCUACGGGUGAAAGCAGGGGAUCUUCGGACCUUGCGCGAUUGACUGAGCCGAUGUCGGAUUAGCUAGUUGGCGGGGUAAAGGCCCACCAAGGCGACGAUGCGUAGCUGGUCUGAGAGGAUGAUCGGCCACACUGGAACUGAGACACGGUCCAGACUCCUACGGGAGGCAGCAGUAGGGAAUAUUGCGCAAUGGGCGCAAGCCUGAUCCAGCCAUACCGCGUGAGUGAAGAAGGCCUUCGGGUUGUAAAGCCCUUUUAUUGGGAAAGAAAAGCAGCAUAUUAAUAUACCGCUGUUCUGACGGUACCCAAAGAGUAAGCACCGGCUAACUUCGUG
rnacentral:rRNA from 1 species